AACGCAAAUGGCGCUGCAGGGUCCUCUCUGUAGCAUGUCUGUUUGAGUGUCAGUUCUUUCUCUCACUACAACCUAGUUGUAGAGGGGCUAGCGAUGAGGUGUUGGCUGCAAUUUAUUGCAGACAUCCCUUUAAAUUCAAAUGGAUUCUCCAAAGGAAUAUCAUUUUACAUCCCCAAAGCCAAAACACUGUCGCCAUUUUCAUUAAUGGGCGCUUUGGUGUGGUAAUACUACCUUCAUCAAAGUGAAAGACUAUGCCAUAAAGCCUUGGGAGUUGUGCGAUAUUCUUGCUUUACUGGAGGGUUCGCCAAACAAGGGUUCAGGAUAUGUGAGUGUAUUCUCACACAUCUCUCUCUUCUUAUGACCUCAAAUCAGGCAAGAUUACCCGCUGAACUUAA
rnacentral:misc_RNA from 1 species